ACGGUCGCAUCACAUUGAAACAUCGAUUCCCGUAUGAUCACUGAAGUUAAGCAAUGUCGAUCUUGGUUAGUACCUAGAUGGGUGACUGCUUGAGAAUACCAGGU